GCGGGGAUGGCGGAACUGGUAGACGCACUAGACUUAGGAUCUAGUAUCCGUAGGAUGUGAGGGUUCAAGUCCCUUUCCUCGCACCA
rnacentral:tRNA from 1 species